UACGUAGGGCGCAAGCGUUGUCCGGAAUUAUUGGGCGUAAAGAGCUCGUAGGCGGCUUGUCACGUCGGGUGUGAAAGCCCGGGGCUUAACCCCGGGUCUGCAUCCGAUACGGGCAGGCUAGAGUGUGGUAGGGGAGAUCGGAAUUCCUGGUGUAGCGGUGAAAUGCGCAGAUAUCAGGAGGAACACCGGUGGCGAAGGCGGGCUACUGGGCCGAUACUGACGCUGAUGCGCGAAAGCCAGGGGAGCGAACGGG
rnacentral:rRNA from 1 species